rnacentral:tRNA from 1 species
GGUCUGCAGCUCAGUGGCAGAGCGCUUGCCUAGCAUGCGUGAGGUGCUGGGUUAAAUCCUCAGCACCA